GAUGAACGCUAGCGGCGGGCUUAAUACAUGCAAGUCGAGGGGCAGCACGAUGUAGCAAUACAUUGGUGGCGACCGGCGGACGGGUGCGUAACACGUAUGCAACUUGCCCUAUACUGGGGGAUAGCCCGAAGAAAUUCGGAUUAAUACCCCAUAACAUCAGGAUCAGCAUUGGUCUUGGUUCAAAACUCCGGUGGUAUAGGAUGGGCAUGCGGUCGAUUAGCUUGUUGGUGAGGUAACGGCUCACCAAGGCGACGAUCGAUAGGGGGCCUGAGAGGGUGAUCCCCCACGCCGGUACUGAGACACGGACCAGACUCCUACGGGAGGCAGCAGUAAGGAAUAUUGGUCAAUGGGCGAAAGCCUGAACCAGCCACGCCGCGUGAAGGAAGACGGCCCUAUGGGUUGUAAACUCCUUUUCUACGGGAAUAAACCUCAGGACGUGUCCUGAGCUGAAGGUAUCGUAGGAAUAAGGAUCGGCUAACUCCGUGCCAGCCGCCGCCGUAAAAC
rnacentral:rRNA from 1 species